rnacentral:rRNA from 1 species
GACGAACGCUGGCGGCGUGCUUAACACAUGCAAGUCGAACGGAAAGGCCCUGCUUUUGUGGGGUGCUCGAGUGGCGAACGGGUGAGUAACACGUGAGUAACCUGCCCUUGACUUUGGGAUAACGUCAGGAAACUGGGGCUAAUACCGGAUAGGAGCUCCUGCUGCAUGGUGGGGGUUGGAAAGUUUCGGCGGUUGGGGAUGGACUCGCGGCUUAGCAGCUUGUUGGUGGGGUAGUGGCUUACCAAGGCUUUGACGGGUAGCCGGCCUGAGAGGGGGACCGGCCACAAUGGGACUGAGAUACGGCCCAGACUCCUACGGGAGGCAGCAGUGGGGAAUAUUGCACAAUGGGCGGAAGCCUGAUGCAGCAACGCCGCGUGCGGGAUGACGGCCUUCGGGUUGUAAACCGCUUUCGCCUGUGACGAAGCGUGAGUGACGGUAAUGGGUAAAGAAGCACCGGCUAACUACGUG